UACGAAGGGUGCAAACGUUGCUCGGAAUUAUUGGGCGUAAAGCGCACGUAGGCGGCUUUGCAAGUCGGAUGUGAAAUCCCUCGGCUCAACCAAGGAAGUGCAUCCGAAACUGCAGAGCUUGAGUACUUAAGAGGAUCGCGGAAUUCCCGGUGUAGAGGUGAAAUUCGUAGAUAUCGGGAGGAACACCAGAGGCGAAGGCGGCGAACUGGACAGUUACUGACACUCAACUGCGAAAGCGUGGGGAGCGAACAGG
rnacentral:rRNA from 1 species